GGAGGGAUGGCAGAGCGGCCGAAUGCGAAGCUCUUGAAAAGCUUUGGGAGGCAACUCCCCGGGGGUUCGAAUCCCUCUCCCUCCG
rnacentral:tRNA from 1 species